CAGAGAUGGGAGCUGAGCGUUGGCGUGUUAUCGACAGCAUUGUGGGCAAGAUGAGGAUGGAAAGGAACGCAGGAGCCUUUCUCCUUAGCUACGUCCUUCUGUGCUUUUAACGCUUUGGGUGGACGGGUUAUGUGCUGAGGCAACUUAGCUGCCCCGAACGUUUUGUUCUUGAAUUGGCUUUAGAAUGAGCAUUGUGAUCCCAGCCAGCCACGGCCCUAGAGGCUGUAUCGCUUGACAAGGACAAUAGAAAUUGUUUCAACUGACUUUGAGUGAUGCCAUGUUCUCCUUCUCUCUCUCAGCCAGUGACCCUGUCAGAAUUGAAGCGGCUGUAGGUGAAGAUGUGCUUCUGCCCUGCAAUGUCGAACGUAGAGAUGCUGUCCGUCUUCCAGACCCUACAGUUAACUGGCAGCGGUCAGAGAGUAGUGAAGUCGUGAACAGCUACUACAGUGGCAAGAGCCAUCCAGAGCAUCAGUGUGGACAAUAUAAGGGGAGAACAGAGUUCUCUUCUCAGGGAUUGUCCGAGGGCAACGCGUCUCUGCUACUGAAGAAUGUAACUCCUGCUGACCUUGGGAACUACACCUGUCAUGCUAGUUUAUAUGAGAACAGUCCCCAAACUUUACAAACUGUUCUGCUUAUGCCGAAAAAGACCCCAGGUGCAAAUGUUCAGGCAGAUGCAAACGUUCCAGGAGGACAUGAAAAACGAGACCGCAUUCUAAGCAUUCCUGUCCUGUUGAGCGCACUAGUGAUUCUUGCAGCAGGGGGUUUUGUAGGGUACUGUUGGUCUAAAAAGAAGACUACAAAGUCAAAAGAAGGUAUGUGCAAUGGUGUGUGUGAUUUUAAAAAUCAACAAAGAUCCUGUCAACCAUUAUAUCCCCUAGGCAGCAAGACAAAAAUAUUUGCAAAAUAAGGUUUUAACCUAUUUCUUCCUGAGACAAACAAAUCUUAACAUUUGCCCCUAGGACAGCUGCACCGUGCGUUACUAACACAAAUCCCAAUAAAGGCAGUGAUGCACUGUGGCCUAGUUGAAAG
rnacentral:lncRNA from 1 species